rnacentral:rRNA from 1 species
UACGGAGGAUCCAAGCGUUUAUCCGGAUUUAUUGGGUUUAAAGGGUGCGUAGGCGGCUUUUUAAGUCAGGGGUGAAAGACGGUGGCUCAACCAUCGCAGUGCCUUUUGAUACUGAAGAGCUUGAUUAAACUUGAGGUAGGCGGAAUGUGACAAGUAGCGGUGAAAUGCAUAGAUAUGUCACAGAACACCCAAUUGCGAAGGCAGCUUACUAUGGUUUUUAUUGACACUGAGGCACGAAAAGCUGGGGGAUCAAAACAGG